AUUGAACGCUGGCGGCAGGCCUAACACAUGCAAGUCGAACGAGUGGCAGACGGGUGAGUAAUGUCUGGGAAACUGCCCGGUGGAGGGGGAUAUCUACUAGAAACGGUAGCUAAUACCGCAUACCCUCAGAUGUGCCCAGAUGGGAUUAGCUAGGAGGUGGGGUAAAGGCUCACCUAGGCGACUAUCCCUAGCUGGUCUGAGAGGAUGACCAGCCACACUGGAACUGAGACACGGUCCAGACUCCUACGGGAGGCAGCAGUGGGGAAUAUUGCACAAUGGGCGCAAGCCUGAUGCAGCCAUGCCGCGUGUAUGAAGAAGGCCUUCGGGUUGUAAAGUACUUUCAGCGGGGAGGCGUUACCCGCAGAAGAAGCACCGGCUAACUCCGUGCCAGCAGCCGCGGUAAUUC
rnacentral:rRNA from 1 species